CAGUGUCUGCUACAGCAGAUGUCUGUGUUGACAGUCAGCAUGAGCUGGACAGGCUGAAGUUCAACAAAAGCAAGUCUGCAAGAUUUGACUUGAACUAUUCUAUCCAGUUCUAAUGCACCAACAUGAUUGCAGAAAUGUGGACAAAUGAUCCAAAACUCAUCUAUUUCAAGCAUGGGACAAGCUGUCCUAGGUAUAUCAUUAACACAUCUUGGUGUGUGUGUUAUAGAGUCCUGCGGAAUACAACAGCAGUUGUAUGGAGAUGAAGAGAUGAAAAAAAAUAAAAUCAUGUACUGUGGCAUCUGUCCAGUGAGAUCUGGAUAUCAAAAUCUUUAUCUUUGAUGUUCUGCCAAUAAGAAGCCCUGUAAGUCUUUGGUGUCACUCCAUUAGAAAAAAAGAACAGAGAGUUACCUACCAAGAGAGAGGGAUUACAAACACUUCUGACUAUUUUGGCAUUGCUAAUGGCACAGCAGCUGAGCAAAAUGUUUAUCAGAGGACUUCAAAACAUGCAGUGCACAGGGCAAAAAAGCAGUUCAGUUCAUGCUUUGAUGCAUUAUUUAUCCUGU